GUUUGUAUUUAUUCGAGACCGCCUAGAACCACCACGGUCCGGAUGUUUGUAUUUAUUCGAGAAGUUUUAUCAUAGCACUCUUCUGGCAGUUCUCACUUCUCACCAGAGAUCAUAUUCAAAGGUAGUACUAUAUUAAGUCUCAGUUGGCGAGGUAGAAGAUUCUGAAAUGGGAGACUCAUCGGAAUCUUUAUCAACUGCCAUGAUUGAAUUGCUUCCCUGAAAGUGGCCAAAAUUCAUCCUCUGUGCAAUUGAAUCGCAAAGAUGGAUUUUGGCCAUUUCAGGGAAGCUUUUCUUUGGUAUCAUUCACGCAAAAUCACAUUUGAAAAUUGAAACCCAUUUGCCUACUGAUCCAUAUGUAAAUAAGGUGGUAUGAUAUCCUUCUGUGUCAUUUUCUUUACUUUUGAUGAGGGUUAGCAUUAUCGUAGUCACUGGUUCUAUUACUGGACCUUUUUACAAUAUCAUGAGAUAAUGUUUUCUUCAUAAGUACUGCAUGUGAUAAUGCCCUGCUUUUUAAUGCAUUUGAUAUUGUCCUGCCGUUUGCUUAGGAAUAUCUUAAAUUAAAACAUGCCAUAUGUUUUGUCUAAAAUAGAAUUAGUUGUGGAUAAUAAGGUUAUAAACAUUGGAUCACGUUAAGAUCGCACUUAUGUGGAAAAGCAAACACAGAAGAAUAUGGAGCCUCAAAUUGAUCCCAGUUUCGGUUUAUAUGGUGUAAAUAGGAUUAAGGUAGAUACUCUUCAUAGUUAAGUGGUGCAUUAUUAUCUGGAUCAUGAUACAUUUCUCCUUAUUUAUAAUAUCACGGAGUCCUUAAAAUUGUGAGCAAAAUCAGGUAGAAAGUAAUAAGGAAAACUUACGGAUGGAGAGAGUUUUCAGUGAGACAUAAUGUCUCGCCUUACAUCUUGUGAGAGGAUAACAUUUACUGUCAAUAGUAGCAGGUAGGAAAUUUUUAAAGGAAAGUUUGCCUCUAACAGCAAUGCCAGGAGCCUUGGAUGAUGCAUAUGAUGGUCAAGAAUGGGAUUGAUGGUUCACCAGUUUAGAGAUUAAUUGAAGGCGAUGCUCAAUAUGUUAUGACUGAGGUUGACUUUAGCAAGGAAGGUUCGCUCUUGGAUGAGAUAAGGUUGCUUAUUCAGUAAUUGCAUUCUACGGUUCUACUUGAUGGAGUUUCUCUCUUAGGUGUCGCGUUAAGGUGGCACACCAUUUUGCUAGGAUUGCACUUCAUUUGCAUGAACCUUUGUUGUGUUUAGAAGCUCCAUGGCUUUCAUGUUUUGCUAAUGAUGUUAUUGAGUCAUGAGUUCAAUGGAUUUCAUUCACUUUUUCAUGAUAAAAGAAAAAAUCUUAAGUUGAAUAUUAGAAUUUUGAAAUAUAAAGUAGGGGUUGGCUGCAUACCAGUUUGACAUGACUCGAACUCAAUGAAAAAGUUGAGGGAUUGAGACAUUGAGUGCACCGGUCCUUAGUACUUAUCCUAUACAAACUCAAAUAUGAGAUGAUCUGCUACUAUGAAAUAAACAGAUUGAAUUAGUCAGCAAUAAGUAACUCAAUUUACCUCAAUUUAAUUAAAAAUAAAGAAAACAGAACAAGAUAUUUUUCUUACUUUUUUGAGUAAAAUAGAACUUUUAUUUAUCAGAUGGCAAAGCACUUGCCUCUCAGAUCCCAAGUUUCUAUUCUGAUACAGAGAACCACCUUCAUUUAAGUAUUUACCAUACACUUCUCUACUAUUCGGCAUCUCUAACCAGAAGACCAUCUUCAGAGGUAGUUGUUGAAAGCUUCUUUUUUUUUUUUUGCUUUCUUCAUUAUUUUAAUUAUUAUGCAUUUGAUUGUGAAUUGUCUGCAACUAAUUUGUGAGAUGUUCUUUUGUUCAUUUUUAGUAAUCUCAUGUGUUAUGGAGAUUCUUAGCUUUUUUUUGUUUUUGUUUUUGUUUUUUAUAUAAGAAUUGCAAUGUUAGUGAUGCUCACCAGGUGUUUCAAGACAAGGUUUUAGUUUUAGUGGUGUUGAGGCAAUAGGAACUAUGUCAAAAGCAUUAUACUUAUAUCAGCUCAUUUUGUUGAUGUGAUGGUAAGCUUGUUUCCUUGUGGUACACCUUUUCCAAAUUUUAUAAACAUUUCCGAAAAACGAAGUUAUGUCUGUUAUGGUAUCUGGAGGACAUAUGGGGAUGGCCUUAUGCUCAUCCUUUCUAAUAUGAUUUAUGUUUCUUGAGCUCCACUAAUGCAACAUAGUUCUCAAGUAUUGUUUGAAAAUCUUUGUAAUUUGUCAUAAUAACCACUAAAUUAUUCUUGUUUGCUUUUCAUCACUGAAAAUUUCUUUUCUGUGUGUUGCUAUAUUUUUGGUUUUGUUUUUAUUGAAAACAUGAUAGUGCAGACCUUUGAUAAGUUAGUUGUUAAGCCCCUCUUGGCAAAGCAGAAACCCAGAAAUGGCAGAUUCGGCCCAACCCUCAUCAAAUCCCACUGUUGAAUUUCAUGGCGAUGAAUUCUGGCCACUUUUGGGGAAUCCUUUCUUUGAUAUGUACUCUCAAAUCUCAUAUGAAUCCCUUAAAUGGCAGGAGCGGGGAGAUGACAUGGAAUGGAUCUCACAGAACUAGUAAAAGCUUCGAUAGAAAGUGAUGGAGAACAUUUAUUGAUGACAACAAUUUGAGGCUUGGACAUGGAUGUGUGUUCGAACUUAUGGAGUGCAGCACUACAAGACUAGUAUUCAGAGUCCAAAUCCUCAGAGGUGACAUCCCAGCUGAACUUAUCAUCUGUGAGGAUGCAGAGAAAGCCAUUGUUUUGUAACAAUAUUGCCUUUUCAGGUGCUACUAUAAUGUAUAAAAUUAUGUAUGGCCUAUUAAGUUGACUUGACGGACUUGUACAGUUUUUUUUUUUUUUUUUGCUCUUAAUAUUACUUCUUCAAUAU